rnacentral:rRNA from 1 species
UUGAACGCUGGCGGCAGGCCAAACACAUGCAAGUCGAGCGGUUGAGAGUAGCUUGCUACUUGAUGCAGCGGCGGACGGGUGAGUAACGCGUGGGAAUCUGCCCAGUAGUGGGGGACAACAGCCGGAAACGGCUGCUAAUACCGCAUACGCCCUACGGGGGAAAGGGGGGGAUCUUCGGACCUCUCGCUAUUGGAUGAGCCCGCGUCGGAUUAGCUAGUUGGUAGGGUAAAGGCCUACCAAGGCUACGAUCCGUAACUGGUCUGAGAGGAUGAGCAGUCACACUGGAACUGAGACACGGUCCAGACUCCUACGGGAGGCAGCAGUGGGGAAUAUCGGACAAUGGGGGAAACCCUGAUCCAGCCAUGCCGCGUGUGUGAAGAAGGCCUUAGGGUUGUAAAGCACUUUCAGUGGGGAGAAAGGUUUGUCACCUAAUACGUGAUGAAAUUGAUGUUACCCACAGAAGAAGCACCGGCUAACUCCGUGCCAGCCGCCGCAGUAACAC